rnacentral:lncRNA from 1 species
CCUUCGUGGCUUCGAGGUCAUCGACGCCGCCAAGGCGGCGAUCGAGGCGCAGUGCCCCAAGACGGUCUCGUGCGCCGACAUCCUGGCGUUCGCGGCGCGGGACAGCGUCGCGCUGUCGUCGUCGUCGGCGUCGGGGAGCGGCAAGAACCUGACGUACAAGGUCCCCGCGGGGCGGCGCGACGGGCGGGUGUCGAGGGACACGGACGCCAACAGCAACCUCCCCUCGCCGCUCUCCACCGCCGCCGAGCUCGUCGGCAACUUCACGCGCAAGAACCUCACCGCCGAGGACAUGGUGGUGCUCUCCGGCGCGCACACCGUCGGCCGCUCCCACUGCUCCUCCUUCACCAACCGCCUCUACGGCUUCAGCAACGGCAGCGACGUCGACCCGGCCAUCAGCUCCGCCUACGCCUUCCUGCUCAGGAG